ACGGACCUUGCCUCGUCGUCGCCUAACUAAGCGGCACACGCGCACGCCUUCUAACCCUAGUCACCCCCGACCCCCGCACUUCUCCGCCGCCUCCUCCACCCCCGGCGGCGGCUGCGGCUGCGGCGUCUACUCCCGCGAAGAUGUCGGGCGGCUUCUUCCGGGGGACGUCCGCCGACCAGGACACGCGCUUCUCGAACAAGCAGGCCAAGCUGCUCAAGUCGCAGAAGUUUCCGCCCGAGCUUGACCACCUGGUGGACAUGACGAAGGUCAAGAUGGACGUGAUGAAGCCCUGGAUCGCCACGCGGGUCACUGAGCUCCUCGGGUUCGAGGACGAAGUGCUCAUCAACUUCAUCUAUGGCCUCCUCGAAGAGAAGGAGGCGGAUGGGAAGAAGAUUCAGAUCCAGCUGACAGGGUUCAUGGAGAAGAAUACAGUGAAGUUCAUGAAGGAGCUCUGGACCCUUCUCCUCAGUGCGCAGCAGAAUGCCAGUGGGGUGCCUCAACAGUUUCUAGAUGCAAAGGAGUCUGAGAUUCAGCAGAGAAAGGCGGAGGAUGAUAGAAUUGCGCAGGAGAUCCAAAAGAAGCGGGAGAAAGAUGGAAUGGACUCAGAACUGGAGAAGCACAAGAUGAUGGAUGGGGAUGCUGGUAUUUCAAGAUCCUAUGGUGAUCCAGUUGGCUCUGCUUUAAAUAAUACCUAUGUCAAUGCUGAGGAGGAAAAGGAAUUGGACUUUAAGCGCAGCUCAAGAACAAAGAACCGGGGAGGUCGCAGAUCCAGGAGCAGAUCUUUAUCGCCCCGUGAUCGGCAAAGAUCUAUUUCUCCCAGAAGGCGUUCUCGAUCUCCUUCCAGACGUUCCCCAUCUAUUGAUAGACACCGUAGAUCAUCACGGCGUUCAACUUCACCUAGACGAUCUGUUUCUCCCGGAAGGCAUUCUCCAAGAAGCAUUCCGUCCAUUUCUAGAAGAAGAUCACCGUAUUCCAGGAGAGAGUCACCUUCAUUUCAAAGAUAUCCAUCCCCAUCUUCUCGUCGGAGAUCUCAUAUUCACAGAAAAUCACCAUCGUCUGGGUCGCGGAGGUCACCUUCUCCUCGCCAUCAUCGUUCUCCAGCUCGUGCACCAAGGAGAUCACAAUUUCCUUCACGUCGAAGGUCUCCUGUGCGACGCAGAUUUUCACCAGCUAGACGUCGAUCUCCAUCUCCAGCAAGGCGUAGGCCAAGAUCCCCAUCUCCAGCAAGGCGCAGGCCACGAUCCCCAUCUCCAGCAAGCCGCAGGCUACGGUCCCCGUCUCCAGGAAGCCGCAGGCCACGGUCCCCGUCUCCUGGAAGACGCAGGCCAUGGUCUCGGUCUCCAGUAAGACGUCGGUCCCCGUCACCAAAACGCCGGAGGAGAUCCUCAAGUUCACCGAAAACUCGUUCUGCAAAUCGGUGUCCGUCUCCACGGAGGAGUAUCGGUCCGUACAGCAGCAAGAGUCCUAAUUGUUCCCGUAGGAGUUUGAGUAGAGACAUCGAGAAUGGAACUAAUGGCGCCCCCUCCAAUAAAGACAGAGUUGUGCUUGGAAGGAACCAAGAAAGAAGAUCAGAUGGCGACAAUGAUAGGGAUGGUGCAAGGAUGGGUGGUCAUCUUUCCCCAGAUUCUGAGCAAUGUAGGUUGUCAAAAUCCUUGAGGGCUCCUAACAACGCAGAAAGAAACUCCACACAUGAUAGCUCUUUCAAGAGCUCUGGGAAACAUUUUCCUAGUCUGGACAGCACAGAUACAAGUGGAGAUGAGGAGGAAGGCAAUCGUGCUAGAGAGAAUGCACGGAAAGCAAAUUCAGCACGUAUGAAAACUAAGGAUUUCUCGGCAGAUCUGCAACUCAAGAAAGUCCAUGCUGAUGACUCAAGCCCUGGAGAAAAAUCUCCAUUCAUGUUACAACAGAGUUGCAAGGCCGUCCAGAAGAAACACCCUGAUCAACUAUCAGAAUUAUCAGAAGAUGAGCUUGCUGGUAGAAGAAUGAAGCAUCAAACUGAUUCUCCUGAUGACUCUCGUGGGAAACAGCAGUCCCCUGUUAGAACUGAAAAGGAUGACUCUUAUUUGAAGGACAGGAGGAACAGUGAGGAUGCCAUGAGGGGUUUGCGUGAUGAUUCUGAUGAUGCUAUUGGGGCAAAGAAAUAUUUUUCUAAAGUCAACGAGGACUCUCGAUUGGGAGAUGGAAGUCCUGUUAAAAAAUCCAAGAAAAAAACAGAUGGUGAUACUCACAUUGAUUCUGGUAGCUCAGGCUCUGAAGAACCUGAUAAACAUAGAUCCCACUCUGAGAAGCGAAGGCAUAAGAAGACUCAUAAGCAUAAGAAACAUUAUGAUGAUAGUUCUGAGUCUGAUUCUGAGCCAGAUGAUAAAGAGGCAAAGAAGAGGAGGAAGGAAGAAAAGAGGCUAAGAAAAGAAGAAAAGCGCCGAAGACGUGAAGAGCGGCACCGCAGAAGGGCAGAACGCCAUGCCAGCAAACAAAAAGGGAAGCACAAUGAUAUUGUUACACCGCUUUCAGAUUCUGAGAAGGAUCGGGUUUCUGAUUCAGACGUUGAUGUUAGGAAAAGAGGUUCACAUGUUGGCAGAGAAGAAUCUGAUCAGAAGAAACUUGAAAUUGAGCUUCGUGAGAAGGCCCUUGAAUCUCUUAGAGCAAAGAAAGCCAUCAACCACUAGCCUGAAAAAUUUCUCGCGAGGCAUUUCUGAGUUUCUAUUUUCAAGUGCUUAUCUCAAUGCUAUGGAAGUGUGCUUAUAUGAUGCAUGUUUAAUUUUCUGUGUGUUUAUGUGGCAGUUGAUCUGAAUUGAGGAUUCCUGAGCUGUUUCCUUGAUGCAGCUGCGUGCAGGCUUAGCUGCUAGUUAUCUGAUUAGCACCAUGUGCACAAGCUUUUUAUGUUCCUCAGGAUGAUAUGAUCCAACACCUCAACAAAAAGUUGGUAACAUUAUUGAUUGCGAAAGUCUCCUAAAGCAUUCAUUCUUACCAGUUGUUUGAUCGCUGCUUCUUUGAUUCAGGUUUGUGCAGUAGUUAAUAUAUUUGAUGGCUAGGUUCUGAUCAACAAAAAGAAGUUGGUAGCAUUAAAUAUUUUAGCAAUUGAUAUGUAUACGUAGGGUGCUGGCUGUCAUUAAUGUUCAGAAACUAUAUUUUAAUGUUGUCUGAAUAAUAUAGCAAAACAAAACCUGCCACCCUCAAAUUUUGUGCUUCACAUAUGCAACCACUGAACCAGCUGAUGAUUUGAAUUGCAAAUAGUAUCUGGUGAAAUCAUUUUCCACCUGGGAGGAAGAUAUGCUACAGUUUGUUCAUGAACUUAGGUUAUUACUUGCAUUUCUGAUACAUGAGCAUGGGAGCCAUGUUUUAGAAAAAUAAAAAACAGCAGGGAUUCCCUGUCACCUCUGGGAUGAACAGUGUCCCGAGUUGACUAUGGUUAUUUAGGAUAUUUUUAUUUGUUUUGGUAGUACUCUCUGUUCCUUUUUGUUGAUAUUCAAAUUUUCAAGCGUCAGAUAAAAAAAAGAGUGAAGUAAUAAAAAACAUGUAGGUUGAUCGACACUGUGGAUGGCUAACUUGCUGUUUACAGGGAUAGCAAGUAUAUGAAAGAUGCUAAUUCUCUUUCUUUUCUAAGAGGUAGAGCUUUAGGGCUCGUUAAAUGCAGUACCAGUGGUACAUGUUGACGCAUUCAAUGCCUUAGGUAGACCCUGCAUAGUCAGAUCAUGGCUUCAUCUGCCCAGUAUUAGUCUGUGGGUUCAUUCUCAUCUCUACGACGGUGUAGCCAUAGAGUCAAAUUGGUGCAGGCGCAUUUAAAAAUGUCUUGCAUAGACCUGCACAUAAAUGUUGAAUAUUAGAGCAUUUAGAGGGAUGCAAUCCGAGCUAUGUGUUGUGGUAUUGUUAAUUUCUAAUUCUUGAGCUUGUGUUGUGUUUGGAGAGAAGAUUAACUUGCUUUGGCUAGUCGUGGACAAUCUGCUUCAGAUUCCAUUUAUGAUUAAAUUCAAUUUAUAGAACAGAAGAAAUGCAAUUAAUUUGAAGACAAAUUUAAUUUCCUUAUGCUGUCCAGCUGACUCUUAGGAGGCUUGUAGCCAAACAUUGGGACUCAGUUUCCUUAUGCUGUCCAGCUAACUCUUAGGAGGCUUGUAGCCAUACUAAGUUCACGUUUGCCGUGAGGUAGUUGACAGCAUUGUCGACCAGUCGAAUCUGAGUUCCAAUGUGUCUGCAACCCUCAUGAAAGUUAAUAGGAUGGCACAUAGCACAAAAAUAUAUUCCUUUAGACAGUGUUUUUACAUUAGUUGCAGUUUUUGUUGUUUAACUUUACAUUGAAUUUAGUUAACAAUGCACUUAUGUGGAUUAAUGGAGUUCAUAUUCUCUCCAAACAUGAUCCAUGCUCUAAGAGUCAGAAGCUAAUAAUACAACAGUUUUUAUAUAACUCAUGAUGGCUUCUCUCUAAAUACUAUAGUAAUCUACUUUGAUGUGCCCAUCUACGUGAAUCACUUGUAAAUGCACAUGUGCCGCCUAGAUUCAACUUCGUACUGUUUAGGGUUGAGGAUGCGCUCGCUAGUCAACAUCAAGGUUGAAUGGGUAUGACCGUAUGAGGCCAUCUCUACAUUGGUGACUCAACGCGCAAAACUGGGCAGAUGAAAGCAUGAUCCGACAAUGAAGGCAGUGUACAAACUCGGUUCUACCUUUUGGAAGCAAAAUAGAAGUAGCGACCUUUUUUUUUUAAUCUUGCUAUACACAAUGAGUUUGCCAUAUGGUCAUCAAGUAAUGGUAAUUGUUACAUUAUGUGAAACUCUUUGGCCAUUAUUUGUGUUCCAAACUCUAAAACAAUAUGCAUUCAUAUGAAAUUGGGAAUGCAACCCUGUAGUUUCUGAUGCAGUGUAUAAGUAGUGUGGUUUUUUUGUUGUUGUU